GUCAGGAUGGCCGAGCGAUCUAAGGCGCUGCGUUGCGAUCGCAGUCUCCCCUGGAAGGCGUGGGUCCGAAUCCCACUUCUGACA